GGGCUAUUAGCUCAGUGGUAGAGCGCGCCCCUGAUAAUUGCGGGGCG
rnacentral:tRNA from 1 species